rnacentral:rRNA from 1 species
UCAGUUCGGAUUGGAGUCUGNAACCCGACUCCAUGAAGCUGGAUUCGCUAGUAAUCGCGCAUCAGCCACGGCGCGGUGAAUACGUUCCCGGGCCUUGUACACACCGCCCGUCAAGCCAUGGAAGCCGGGGGGUGCCUGAAGUGCGCUGCCGCAAGGAGCGCCCUAGGGUAAAACCGGUGACUGGGGCUAAGUCGUAACAAGGUAAC